CAAGAUUUGCAAAGUUCUUUACAAUGCAUUAUUGUCAGAAGUAAGUCAAUUUGUCUAGGAUUCUUUUCAUAUAUAGUAUCUUGGUGUUCUCUCCCUCUUCUAUGUUCCUACAGCCCUUUGUUUGGACUUCUCUUACGGCCUUUACCACACUCUGCUCUACAUUCUCGGUCAUAUGUGUGCCCAGGCCUUCUCUUCUUUGUUGCUGUAUGCAGUGUUCAGGGAAAACUAGCACCUGUGGUAUGAGGGCUUGCCCAGCCCUUUUCAAGGAUGCUGAACCCAGCUCUCACCUGUGACUCCAGGAAGCUGCAGCAUGCAAAACAAACACACCCAGACAGGCUAAACUAGGUUACGGGUAACCAACAGACCUCAAACCCAUAGAGAGAAAAAGAACAACCUUGUGAUAAACAUGUCAAAUGGUUAAGAAAAACCAAUGCCUUCGUUGGUCGUGUCCAAAAGUUGUGUCAUUCCACACACUGAAUCCAUCAGCUCUUUGUCAGCCUACCUUUUGGAGAGGAAAAACUGUUGUGUGAGAAGAAAUGAGUAUGUGGGAGCUUUGGGAGAUUCCCAGAAGUGUAAGUCUGGAUGAGGAGGUUGAAGGAAAUGAAGAUGAAAGCAAGCUGUGCCCCAGACUCCAAGCAAAUGCGUGAGCUUCUCAGUCUGGCAUGCUGGGCCCUCUUUAACCUGACAUGACCUCUCCAGUCUUAUUUUCCCACUGCUCCCUUUCACACACCCUACACUACAGCCAAACUGAACUGUUUACCAUUCCCAGAACACACACACACACACACACACACACACACACACACACACCCACCCCUGCGCCUCCCCCCUUCAUUUUCCUACCUCUAAGUCUUUGCUUUCAAUUCUCAGUCUCCUUCUGGAAUAACUUCCUCAUUUUCACCUGUCGGAAUCCUAAUUGUCAAGUGAGAGGUUUGAACAACAUGAUGUCUAAGGACCCUUUCAGAUAUGAAACUCUGCGAGGCAGCUAGGUGGCACAGUGGAUAGAGCACUGGCCCUGGAUUCAGGAGGACCUGAGUUCAAAUCCAGCUUCAGA